GGCAGGCUUAACACAUGCAAGUCGACGGGGUAACAGUUCCGUUUCGGCGGGAGUACACGACCGGCGCACGGGUGAGUAACGCGUAUGCAACCUACCUGUAACAGGGAGAUAGCCCAGGGAAACUUGGAUUAAUACCCCAUACUAUUUAUAUUUCACCUGAAUAAUAAAAAAGCUUUCGAGCGGUUACAGAUGGGCAUGCGUGCCAUUAGUUAGUUGGUAAGGUAACGGCUUACCAAGACAUUGAUGGCUAGGGGGUCUAAAAGGAUGGUCCCCUACACUGGUACUGAGACACGGACCAGACUCCUACGGGAGGCAGCAGUGAGGAAUAUUGGGCAAUGGGUGCAAGCCUGACCCAGCCAUGCCGCGUGCAGGAUGACUGCCCUACGGGUUGUAAACUGCUUUUCUGCGUGAAGAAAAAGAGUUACGUGUAACUCAUUGACGGUAGCGUAGGAAUAAGCAUCGGCUAACUCCGUGCCAGCAGCCGCGGUAAUACGGAGGAUGCAAGCGUUAUCCGGAUUUAUUAGGUUUAAAGGGUGCGUAGGCGGGACUUUAAGUCAGUGGUGAAAUCCUGCAGCUUAACUGUAGAACUGCCAUUGAUACUGAAGGACUUGAGUAUAGUUGAGGUAGGCGGAAUGUGUAAUGUAGCGGUGAAAUGCUUAGAUAUUACACAGAACACCGAUUGCGUAGGCAGCUUACUAAGCUAUAACUGACGCUGAUGCACGAAAGCGUGGGGAGCGAACAGGAUUAGAUACCCUGGUAGUCCACGCCGUAAACGAUGAUCACUCGUUGUUGGCAAUACACCGUCAGCGACUGAGCGAAAGCAUUAAGUGAUCCACCUGGGGAGUAACGGUCGCAAGAUUGAAACUCAAAGGAAUUGACGGGGGCCCGCACAAGCGGAGGAACAUGUGGUUUAAUUCGAUCAUACGCGAGGAACCUUACCUGGGCUUAAAUGUAGAGUGCAUAAACGGGAAACUGUUUUUUCCUUCGGGACUCUUUACAAGGUGCUGCAUGGUUGUCGUCAGCUCGUGCCGUGAGGUGUCGGGUUAAGUCCCAUAACGAGCGCAACCCCUAUCGUUAGUUGCCAGCGAGUCAAGUCGGGGACUCUAACGAGACUGCCGGUGUAAACCGCGAGGAAGGUGGGGAUGACGUCAAAUCAGCACGGCCCUUACGUCCAGGGCUACACACGUGUUACAAUGGCCGAUACAAAGGGCAGCUACCAGGUGACUGGAUGCUAAUCUCGAAAGUCGGUCUUAGUUCGGAUCGAAGUCUGCAACUCGACUUCGUGAAGCUGGAUUCGCUAGUAAUCGUAGAUCAGCAACGCUACGGUGAAUACGUUCCCGGGCCUUGUACACACCGCCCGUCAAGCCAUGGAAGCUGGGGGUACCUGAAGUCUGUCACCGCAA
rnacentral:rRNA from 1 species